rnacentral:pre_miRNA from 1 species
AGUGGGAUAAUUGGGUCAAAUGGUGUUUCCAUUCCAAGUUUUCUGAGGAAUCUCCACACUGCUUUCCAGAGAGGUUGCACCAAUUUGAAGGCCCACUGGUAAU